UCAUAAAAAAUGUUUAUUAGGAAAAAUUUCAAUAUUUUUAACCUUUUAAAAGUAUAUCAAGAAGUAGUAAGUUAUACAAACAUCAAUAUUAAAUAACAAAAAUGAUGAAAAUAUCAUCUUUUGCAGUAACUUUUACUAUAAUGAUAUAUUUUGCUAUGGACACUCUAUCUGCUCCUGCAACAACUGUCCAAUUUCCAACACCCAGCAAUCAUAACGCUAGCGAAUUUCCAAUUCCUUUCCUACCGACAGUAACUAAAGAUCAUUGCGGUCCGAGCAUUAAUAUUUUAAUUAACGUCAAAUGCAAAAGCUAGAUAUAACAAAAGCUUUUAUGCAAAUGGGU